rnacentral:rRNA from 1 species
AUUGAACGCUGGCGGCAGGCCUAACACAUGCAAGUCGAGCGGUAGCACAGAGAGCUUGCUCUCGGGUGACGAGCGGCGGACGGGUGAGUAAUGUCUGGGAAACUGCCUGAUGGAGGGGGAUAACUACUGGAAACGGUAGCUAAUACCGCAUAACGUCGCAAGACCAAAGUGGGGGACCUUCGGGCCUCAUGCCAUCAGAUGUGCCCAGAUGGGAUUAGCUAGUAGGUGGGGUAACGGCUCACCUAGGCGACGAUCCCUAGCUGGUCUGAGAGGAUGACCAGCCACACUGGAACUGAGACACGGUCCAGACUCCUACGGGAGGCAGCAGUGGGGAAUAUUGCACAAUGGGCGCAAGCCUGAUGCAGCCAUGCCGCGUGUGUGAAGAAGGCCUUCGGGUUGUAAAGCACUUUCAGCGGGGAGGAAGGCGUUAAGGUUAAUAACCUUGGCGAUUGACGUUACCCGCAGAAGAAGCACCGGCUAACUCCGUGCCAGCAGCCGCGGUAAUACGGAGGGUGCAAGCGUUAAUCGGAAUUACUGGGCGUAAAGCGCACGCAGGCGGUCUGUCAAGUCGGAUGUGAAAUCCCCGGGCUCAACCUGGGAACUGCAUUCGAAACUGGCAGGCUAGAGUCUUGUAGAGGGGGGUAGAAUUCCAGGUGUAGCGGUGAAAUGCGUAGAGAUCUGGAGGAAUACCGGUGGCGAAGGCGGCCCCCUGGACAAAGACUGACGCUCAGGUGCGAAAGCGUGGGGAGCAAACAGGAUUAGAUACCCUGGUAGUCCACGCCGUAAACGAUGUCGAUUUGGAGGUUGUGCCCUUGAGGCGUGGCUUCCGGAGCUAACGCGUUGAAUCGACCGCCUGGGGAGUACGGCCGCAAGGUUAAAACUCAAAUGAAUUGACGGGGGCCCGCACAAGCGGUGGAGCAUGUGGUUUAAUUCGAUGCAACGCGAAGAACCUUACCUGGUCUUGACAUCCACAGAACUUUCCAGAGAUGGAUUGGUGCCUUCGGGAACUGUGAGACAGGUGCUGCAUGGCUGUCGUCAGCUCGUGUUGUGAAAUGUUGGGUUAAGUCCCGCAACGAGCGCAACCCUUAUCCUUUGUUGCCAGCGGUCCGGCCGGGAACUCAAAGGAGACUGCCAGUGAUAAACUGGAGGAAGGUGGGGAUGACGUCAAGUCAUCAUGGCCCUUACGACCAGGGCUACACACGUGCUACAAUGGCAUAUACAAAGAGAAGCGACCUCGCGAGAGCAAGCGGACCUCAUAAAGUAUGUCGUAGUCCGGAUUGGAGUCUGCAACUCGACUCCAUGAAGUCGGAAUCGCUAGUAAUCGUAGAUCAGAAUGCUACGGUGAAUACGUUCCCGGGCCUUGUACACACCGCCCGUCACACCAUGGGAGUGGGUUGCAAAAGAAGUAGGUAGCUUAACCUUCGGGAGGGCGCUUACCACUUUGUGAUUCAUGACUGGGGUGA